UUAUAUAUUGAUGGAUUAUACCUGGGUACAAUCCCGGUAUAUCAAAGAGAUUACAUGGAGGCAGUAGUAUUGUUCUAUGGUAGUAAUCAGUAUUCUGUGAUAAAAAAAUUAUUUAAAUUUGGCUCCAAAUGUUUCACAAAUUCCCAAUACCCAAUCAUUUAAUAAUAUUAUGUUCAAAACAUUUAGGUAUCCGGGAUAUUAGCGUACUUACUACUUAUUACUUAAUAGUUAAUUCUGUCUGUUGUUACAACAUUUCUUUAAUUGUUAUAUCGUGUAGAAAUUAUAAAGUUAGAGUAAGUUGAGAAUUCAUAGUUUCUGUUAUAGGUAUUUGUUAUUAAGUAACAAAAAUCAAAUCAAUGGAUAGCUGAUUACAAAUUAUUAUGACCUUGAAUGAAGAAGAAUGUCUACAACCACAGAAGAUUUUGUAACAAUAGCAAAUAUUAUCAAACAUGAAAUUCACAGACGCAAGAAACAAAAAAAACCCAAAAAAAAUUUUAAAAAUGUUGAAGAGGAUAAUAUUCCAUUGUAAGUAUAAA